rnacentral:rRNA from 1 species
GACAGAGGGUGCAACCGUUGUUCGGAAUUACUGGGCGUAAAGGGCGUGCAGGCGGUCUGUUAAGUGCAGGGUGAAAGCUCCCGGCUCAACUGGGAGAGGUCCUUGCAUACUGGCGGACUUGAGGGGGGUAGAGGAAAGUGGAAUUCCCGGUGUAGUGGUGAUAUGCGUAGAUAUCGGGAGGAACACCUGUGGCGAAGGCGGCUUUCUGGGCCCUACCUGACGCUGAGACGCGAAAGCGUGGGGAGCGAACCGG